GUGUGUGUUAUUAUGCAUUGUAAGAAUCCAUAUAUAAUUUAUAAAAUUACAUUCAAAUUGUCAGUUAAUGAUUUUUAAUCGCCCUUUCAAAUAAUCCCCAUUUUUUUCACAAUGAUUUUUGAAUGUGAAUUUUAUACAUCAUCUCAGACAGCAAAACAAUUUGUGUAAAAGUUGGACGUGCUUAACGUGCAUUAACAUCCUGAUAAAAAUCUUCAAAAGAUUUUAAGCAGAUUCAUAAAUUUGCAGAUCCAUACACAUAAAAGCACUUAAAUAUGAC
rnacentral:lncRNA from 1 species